rnacentral:misc_RNA from 1 species
UUAACUAUUGUAUAGUACUCAGACAGCAAUGAUUCAAGGGUUUCGGUCCUCUGGCCGGCCCGGAGGCCAGCCAAAGCAACUGUAGUUUGGUACGCAAAGGGUGAGAAUGGGACCGCGAGGGUCGCCGAUUCUGUAAUGAUCCUUCCGCAGGUUCACCUACGGAAA